rnacentral:rRNA from 1 species
GACGAACGCUGGCGGCGUGCUUAACACAUGCAAGUCGAACGGAAAGGCCCUGCUUUUGUGGGGUGCUCGAGUGGCGAACGGGUGAGUAACACGUGAGUAACCUGCCCUUGACUUUGGGAUAACUUCAGGAAACUGGGGCUAAUACCGGUUAGGAGCUCCUGCUGCAUGUUGGGGGUUGGAAAGUUUCGGCGGUUGGGGAUGGACUCGCGGCUUAUCAGCUUGUUGGUGGGGUAGUGGCUUACCAAGGCUUUGACGGGUAGCCGGCCUGAGAGGGUGACCGGCCACAUUGGGACUGAGAUACGGCCCAGACUCCUACGGGAGGCAGCAGUGGGGAAUAUUGCACAAUGGGCGGAAGCCUGAUGCAGCAACGCCGCGUGCGGGAUGACGGCCUUCGGGUUGUAAACCGCUUUCGCCUGUGACGAAGCGUGAGUGACGGUAAUGGGUAAAGAAGCACCGGCUAACUACGUG